GGCUGGAUGGCUCAGUGGUUAGAGCACUUGGUGUAUCUGGAGGUCCCGGGUUCAAUCCCGGGUAAUGGACU